rnacentral:rRNA from 1 species
CCCUUAGAUGUUCUGGGCCGCACACGCGCUACACUGAAGGAGGCAGCGUGUACUCCUGGAUCGAAAGAUUUGGGUAACCCGCGAAUCUCCUUCGUGCUAGGGAUUGAGGUUUGCAAUUAUCCUUCAUGAACGAGGAAUUCCCAGUAAGUGCAAGUCAUAAGCUUGCCCUGACUACGUCCCUGCCCUUUGUACACACCGCCCGUCGCUACUACCGAUUGAAUGAUUUAGUGAGGACUUCGGACUGGGACCGAUGCGGCUUUCGGGCUGCGUCGGUAUUCUGGAAAGAUGUCCAAACUGUAUCAUUUAGAGGAAGUAAAAGUCGUAACA